rnacentral:rRNA from 1 species
CACGUAGGAGGCAAACGUUAUCCGGAUUUACUGGGCGUAAAGCGCGUGUAGGUGGUUCUGUAAGUAGGGCGUGAAAGCUCCCGGCUCAACUGGGAGAGGCCGUUCUAAACUGCAGAGCUAGAGGAUGGUAGAGGGAGGUGGAAUUCCAGGUGUAGCGGUGGAAUGCGCAGAUAUCUGGAGGAACACCAGUGGCGAAGGCGGCCUCCUGGACCAUUCCUGACACUCAGACGCGAAAGCUAGGGCAGCAAACGGGAUUAGAUACCCCGGUAGU